UCCAUCCGUUCGCUGUUUAAAGGAAACCUCAGCUGCCAUGCUUACCUGUCACCGAAUCUCUGGUUGCAGCAAUGUGCCUCUUCUCCUGCUAAAGUCGCAUCACCCCAAGUCUGCUUGCUGUGCUGAACACAGCAGGGGAGGGAAAGAAUGUCAUGCAUUUACACCUGGAGCAGCUUCUUCCCAUGGUAGCAGCCCCGUGCAAGUUCCACAGCUGUGUUAGAAAUAUCUGGUGGGCCGAGCCCAGGACUGGCUGACCAGCACAAGCUGGAUUCUUGCCCUUGAUGCUACAAUAAUACAAAUAAAUAAUAACAACACUUGGCAGCACCAUUCAGCCUGCCGGGCCUGCAGGGGUCAGGAGCAAACAACUUAUUUACUGAUAUUUCUCGAACAUCAGCCAGCACCUUUCCAUGAACAAAUUUCUAAUGUGUCCGUUACUGUGGUCGCUAUCUGACAAAGGAGGGUUGCAGGAGUAGCUGGCGGGGCUGGUGUGCAGAGGCUACUGCCUAUGAUGCUGACUAAUAGCCUCUCAUGGUUUCCUUGUACUCCCUCAUCUGCCGGGUUUCCUGACGGUGGAAAGAACAGGAAGCAAAAAUGCUGAAGCAGUGCCACAGAAAAGCUGCUUUUACAGCAUUUCUGACUUGGCUGAAAUCAGAUUCCUUAUCAAGGCCGUAUCUCAGUGUUCUAGUCUGGAGUUUCUGGAAGGCACUCCAAGCCCCUUCAGCAAGGUGAAAUCAAAGCUGUGUGAAAUCGACUGAUAAGUUGGAGAAGCCAUAAGAACUACGAAAACAAGGGU